AUUGAACGCUGGCGGCAGGCCUAAUACAUGCAAUUCGAACGAGUGGCGGACGGGUGUAGAAUGUCUGGGAAACUGCCUGAUGGAGGGGGAUAACUACUGGAACCGGUAGUUAAUACAGCAUACCAGCGUAUGGGCACAGAUGGGAAUAGCUAGUAGGUGGGGUAAAGGCUCACCUAUACGACGAUCCCUAGCUGGUAUGAGAGGAUGACCCGCAACACUGGAAUUGAGACACUGUCCAGACUCCUACGGUAGGCAGCAGUGGGGAAUAUUGCGCAAUGGGCGCAAGCCUGAUGCAGCCAUGCCGCGUGUAUGAAGAAGGCCUUCGGGUUGUAAAGUACUGUCAGCUGGGAGGCGUUACCCGCAGAAGAAGCACCGGCUAACUCCGUGCCAGCAGCCGCGGUAAUUC
rnacentral:rRNA from 1 species